UGGAUAUCUUAAAAUUAAAUACAUACACGUCUUAAUUCUUACAAAUAGGAAUAUAGUGGUGACUAAUUGCAAACAUAAUCACACUACUACUUUACAUUCAUAAACUGGCAUACUUGUUUCUAUCAAUUUUUCAGGAAACGUGAAAAACAAUGUUCGCGCUGCAACAUGUUAAGAGUACCAUAUGUGUCUUAUCGACUUGUGGUGGGUUAUGAAUAGAAUUUCAGAACCCUGUGUUUCAACAAAUACUGACAUUACGUUUCAAAAACCUGAAUAUGAUUCAUAUAAUUUUUGUCAAUAAUUUCUGUAAUUUUUACUCGAAAAAAUACGUGCAAGUAUGACAAGUUUUUUACCAACUAGAUCUAUUGGCUAUAUAAUUCUGCGGAAAGAUACAUACAGCGGACUACUAUAUAGCGGACUACUCUCUUGCAUCUGAUUCUGCGUCAAAUCUGCUAUUGAGAAAUUAGUGCACAGUUAGCUAAAUAUAUGAUUAUAACUCACUUGCAUUUUCAAAAAUUCCGCAGAGCUUAAAAAUUCUUAUUGUUAGCCAUGUAACAUCAUGAUGUUACACGCUUGAAAAUUACACACACGUCUAAAAUAGAUAAUAUUUCCGUUAGAAAAUAUUAAUAGUAGCUAGGUAACAUGAUAAUAUUACAUCCCAAAAUUCCCACAUGUCUAAAAAUAGAUAUCAGGUUUUCCAGUAAUCAUUUUGCAAUCUCUAUGUAUUUUCGGUAUAAUAGAAUAAGUAUAUCCACGGUGAGGAUGCGUACACCGGAUAUUGCCAUUUAGUGAUAAGGUAUUUUUCGAAAACGUGUUUAUUUUUCGUCAACUAGAUUCAACUUGUGUAUGUGUGUUUAUGACUGGCUCGACGAACGAAUUUAAGGACUUUCUAUGUCAUUUUGUUGAACACCACCCAAAUGACGAGAAUAUAUUCGUAUGCUAACGACCAAAACCGCAAAAAAGUAAAUUACAAGAUAGCACCAGACAUAUGCAGCGAAAAAAAAGCAGAAAAAAUACUGUUGAUUCAGAAAAUAUUAACAUACAUGUUUUAAAAAGGAACCCGAUUACAAAAGGGACCAACUUGCAACAGAAAGAAACCUUUGAUUUGGGCAAAUAGUGAGGAGCCUGUUCACUGACUGUAGUGGAAAUGUAGGCUACCUACCACGCCAUCUAGCUCAAUAUUUACACAAUGCUACCAGUACAAAAAUAUAAUCUAGAGACACAUUCACGGCGGUGUACAUGGAACUUUCAAUGUUACACAGAGUGCAAUUUCCAUGGACAGACAAGGUUUUCGGACAGUAUUUUUACACAGUCUAUGAAAGAAUGAGACAAAAUAGAUGAAUGAAUAAAUAGCCUUUAAUCAGUUUGUUUGCCAAGAAACGUUUUCUUUAACUGAUUUUAUAGUUUCCUAUAUUUUUUGACGUCGCAAAAUCUUUUUAUCGACAACUUGGUUAAUAUGAGGUAUAGUGAAGACUGCAAGUUGUUUUGAAGAGCAGGCUUAUAACUCUUCCAGUGAAAUUACAAUUAUACAACUGCUUGCAUAACAGAGACAGCAUUUCUGCCGCUAAAUUAAGAGGGAAGAGAAAAGCAAACAGACAAAUACUUAUUGACAUUAAAAGAAGUAGCUAGUAACUGCAUAAAUGUGAUGAGUGUACAUUACUUCCACAUAAGACUGGGCAUUGAUACUGAAAUAGGUUCUGUUGUGACAGAUUUAUUUUACCAAACAUUAUUUGACAAGCAAUAUUGUAAAAGCCAUGGUUUACUUUGAUAAAGAACAAAUAGUCAUGUACAUUGAAAUAUUUAUUAAACAAACUUGAAACCUAGA